CAACCCCUCAAGCCCGGCUUGUGUGAUGGACGACCGUCCCCUCCCCGUCAGACGGAGGGGGACGCGCCCGAAAAGCAGUGGCCAGGCCGCGCUUCCGGCACCUAGGCGAAUGGGACACACCAACCGUCUAAGGGACCGGCCGGUACUGCUGGCCUUGACUGGACUCUUUUGUCCGUUAAAUUUUUUCA
rnacentral:misc_RNA from 1 species